GAUGAACGCUGGCUACAGGCUUAACACAUGCAAGUCGAGGGGCAACGACGUGGAAGCUUGCUUCCCCGGGCGUCGACCGGCGCACGGGUGAGUAACGCGUAUCCAACCUGCCUCUGACUGAGGGAUAACCCGUCGAAAGUCGGCCUAAUACCCCAUGGCAUCAUCUGCGAGCGUCCAACGACGUUUGACGUUUUCAUCGGUCAGAGAUGGGGAUGCGUUUGAUUAGCUGGUUGGCGGGGUAACGGCCCACCAAGGCGACGAUCAGUAGGGGUUCUGAGAGGAAGGUCCCCCACAUUGGAACUGAGACACGGUCCAAACUCCUACGGGAGGCAGCAGUGAGGAAUACUGGUCAAUGGGCGAGAGCCUGAACCAGCCAAGUAGCGUGCAGGAGGACGGCCCUAUGGGUUGUAAACUGCUGUUAUGCGGGGAUAAAGUGAGGGACGUGUCCUUCAUUGAAGGUACCGAAUGAAUAAGGACCGGCUAAUUCCGUG
rnacentral:rRNA from 1 species